CCUACGGGGGGCAGCAGUGGGGAAUAUUGCACAAUGGGCGCAAGCCUGAUGCAGCCAUGCCGCGUGUGUGAAGAAGGCCUUCGGGUUGUAAAGCACUUUCAGCGGGGCGGAAGGCGGUGAGGUUAAUAACCUCAUCGAUUGACGUUACCCGCAGAAGAAGCACCGGCUAACUCCGUGCCAGCAGCCGCGGUAAUACGGAGGGUGCAAGCGUUAAUCGGAAUUACUGGGCGUAAAGCGCACGCAGGCGGUCUGUCAAGUCGGAUGUGAAAUCCCCGGGCUCAACCUGGGAACUGCAUUCGAAACUGGCAGGCUAGAGUCUUGUAGAGGGGGGUAGAAUUCCAGGUGUAGCGGUGAAAUGCGUAGAGAUCUGGAGGAAUACCGGUGGCGAAGGCGGCCCCCUGGACAAAGACUGACGCUCAGGUGCGAAAGCGUGGGGAGCAAACAGGAUUAGAUACCCCUGUAGUC
rnacentral:rRNA from 1 species